rnacentral:rRNA from 1 species
UACGUAGGUGGCAAGCGUUGUCCGGAUUUAUUGGGCGUAAAGAGCGUGUAGGCGGCUUUACAGGUCCGUUGUGAAAACUCGAGGCUCAACCUCGAGACGCCGGUGGAAACCGUAAGGCUAGAGUCCGGAAGAGGAGAGUGGAAUUCCUGGUGUAGCGGUGAAAUGCGCAGAUAUCGGGAAGAACACCCGUGGCGAAGGCGGCUCUCUGGGACGGUACUGACGCUGAGACGCGAAAGCGUGGGGAGCGAACAGG